GGCUAGCGACUGGCGCGCACGACUCAUAAUCGUGAGGUCGCGGGUUCGAGUCCCGCCUCAGCUACCA
rnacentral:tRNA from 1 species